UUCUUUCUUUUUUUUUUUCCUCGCCUCGAAAAGGGGGGCUUCUCACCGCAAAAAAGAGAGGGGGGAGGGAAAGGGAGGGGAGGGGGGGAAAGGGAGAGAAGCGUGCGGGGGCUGCACGGGGGGCUGCAGCCCACAGGUUGCGGGGGGAGCAAAAAGGGGGUUGGGGGGGGGGGCCGGAGACUUCACGCACUCACUCACACGCACACGCACACUCUCCCCAAAGGGCUGGGAGGAGGCAGGUUGGGAAGGGAGCAAAGUUCCUUGCAAACCAGUGUCCUGCUCCUACUGCAUCAAGGCAGUCAGGAGAAAAAGAAUAGCAAUAAAAAAAAAAGGAGAAAAAAAAAAAAAAAAAAAAAAAAAAGGCUUUGCAAUGCUCAUCCUCUGUCCUGGACAGCUUGCGGUUUGCUGCCUUUUGUUCCACCGCUGCAUUCCUCAGCGUUACAGCUCUCCGGGCCCUGGUCCUUCGCACUUGCCUCCCUCAGUGCUCAUUCAUUGCUAGGAGUGGGGAAGCUGGAAGCGUGGCAAAGGGAAUCUCCAAAAUUGCCUGGUGUGCAGCCCCGUGGCCAGCCCAGGCAGCUGUGUGCAGGGAUGUUACACCUGGAGGAGCGGCUGGGAGAUCGCUCAGCAGCACCAGCCCAGGGUUAUCUACCAGGGAAGGCAUCAGGCAAUUCUGGGCGAGGCUCACGGGCAAUUCAAGUCACCCCCCCCUCCUCUCCUUCCACACAUGCACACACUCCUCCAGAGCCUCAUAUUCCCCAGGUUUCUUUUUAGAUCAGGCAGCUAUGCGGCUGCAUUGCAUGGAUUUUGCCACUAGAAUGCACCCUUAUCUAUGGUAAGAGGACGGGUGCUUGCUUAAAAGCUUUAACUCUUUCUUCACCAAAAUUUCCCUGCUUAAGAUUUUUUUUUUUAAAUUUUUUAUUAUUAUUUUUUUUUUCUUUGCACAUCUCAGGUGUUCCUUGUUUUACUGCCUUCCUACCCCAUGGGAGCUCUGGAGUAAGGAUCAGCUCCCUGCCGUCCUUUUUUGAC
rnacentral:lncRNA from 1 species